rnacentral:rRNA from 2 species
AUUAAGACUCUCGGCAACGGAUAUCUCGGCUCUUACAUCGAUGAAGAACGUAGCGAAAUGCGAUACUUGGUGUGAAUUGCAGAAUCCCGUGAACCAUCGAGUCUUUGAACGCAAGUUGCGCCCGAGGCCUUCGGGYCGAGGGCACGCCUGCCUGGGCGUCACGC